rnacentral:rRNA from 1 species
CAGCCGCCGCGGUAAUACGAAGGGUGCAAGCGUUAAUCGGAAUUACUGGGCGUAAAGCGUGCGUAGGCGGUUUGUUAAGUCUGUUGUGAAGUCCCCGGGCUCAACCUGGGAAUGGCAAUGGAUACUGGCAAGCUAGAGUGUGUCAGAGGAUGGUGGAAUUCCCGGUGUAGCGGUGAAAUGCGUAGAGAUCGGGAGGAACAUCAGUGGCGAAGGCGGCCAUCUGGGACAACACUGACGCUGAGGCACGAAAGCGUGGGGAGCAAACAGGAUUAGAUACCCGAGUAGUCCCUGUCUCUUAUAA